rnacentral:rRNA from 1 species
UACGUAGGGGGCAAGCGUUGUCCGGAAUUAUUGGGCGUAAAGAGCGUGUAGGCGGCCAGAUAAGUCCGCUGUGAAAUCUCGAGGCUCAACUUCGAGCUGUCGGUGGAAAACUAUCUGGCUAGAGUCCGGAAGAGGAGAGUGGAAUUCCUGGUGUAGCGGUGAAAUGCGCAGAUAUCAGGAAGAACACCCGUGGCGAAGGCGGCUCUCUGGGACGGUACUGACGCUGAGGUGCGAAAAGCGUGGGGAGCAAACAGG